rnacentral:lncRNA from 1 species
GGUCAUUUGAAAACAAUUUAGUCGUGGUGUCACGCGCAUUGUUAAAAGUCCACCGUGAAUACAAGAGUCGCAACAAAACAAAUUUGAAUGAUACAAUUUUUUGCGUCGCGUUAUGUAAGUACAGAUACGACGUUAUUAUUUUUGUUAUAUAUUUUUAUUUUUUUUUUGAGUUGGACGGUCCAUUAAGAGUAUACCUGUCGCUCGUCGCGGCGCCACAGUUCGAGUGUUUUACAACGUUUAAUAAUAAUAAAAACUAUACUUUACGAAAACAUUCCAUUUCGGUAUACGUGUGUAUUAUAAUAUAUACAGUUAUCGAUUAUCGGGUAAAAUGGCGCUUCAACAGCAUAAUAACAUACAAUACACCGGACUCAACCAUUAUAAUAAUGCCAGAUGCCAGUUCCCACUCUAUUAUUACUAUUGCGUUACUAUGGUUACUGUUAAGUACAGGUACAGAAAUGUUUGUCAUUGAAUAACGAUCGCGUGCUAUAUCGCCGCGGCUUUGGUCUGACGAUAGUAUAGUCAAAUAGUCGAGUAAAAUAAUAAUAUGCGUGCGUACAACUGACAUAGCCGCGUUAGAGGCGAGGGGAAAUGUGGGCGUUUGCUCCGGGGACGCCGAACUUUUUCCUGACUACGGGAAGCCCGGCUCAAUAUAUGAAACUUAAAAUAAUAAUAAAAAAAAAACUCGCAAUUUCAUUUUUUAAUAUUAUUAUAAUUAUAAGUGGGUGGGUAUACCUGUACCGGUAGGGAAAAAUUCAGCGGUAAGGAAGAAUCAUAUUUGGCGGAAGUAAUACGUAGGAAAUAAAAAUACGUGUUCAAUAAAAUUGUAAAAAAAAAACACAACAAAUCUGUGAGGGGAGAGGUACGAACGUUCCAAAUCAUCCGCGGGUGAGACAUUGAGAGGGGGCGAUGGAAAAUCGAUGCCACCGGGCGCCGCGCCGAACGGCUCUGCGUAACGCUUUUACACAUUUUCAGGACCACUUGUUGAAAACAUUGUCGGGAGCCGAUUCAACGGCCGGUAGAGUGCUUUACCCGGUAUCGGGAGCCAAUUCAACGGUCGCCGUACACGCAUAUUGUAAAUAAAUACGUGUAUUACAUUAGGGGGCCGAUACUGGGUACGCAUUUAACGACGACGGUGAUAAUAAUAGUAAUAACAAGCAAUACAGGUACCGUCGGUUUUUGAAAUUGAAUUAUUUUCGUUGCGCCCGUGCGGCGAGCAAUUUUUCCCACGUUACCGGCACGACGUGACGGUGUCGCACAACGCAACGGCGUUUGUUUUCGACAAAUAGUCCGACAUGGGUCCGCACUGGGGUUGCGGCGAGCCGAAACGAUUCGCACGUUGGACCGUCUUCGGCAUUUAUAUUAUCGUUCCGUGUUAAUGACAUUGUUCCCUUCUCGAUUUAUACGCCCCCCCCCUCCUCUCUUGUGUUUUUAAACGAAACCAAACAGCGUAUUCGUAGUAUGGAAGGCAGCAAAAAAAAAAAAACUAUAAAACGGCGGAUUUUCGUUGUUUCGCACGCGUUUCCCUUGUGAAGGCGCCGGGCGCUAAUCCUGCCCGAAAAACGCGCGCAAACAAAACGCUGCGCAAUAAUAACGAUUGCGCGUAUCGUUAACAGACAUUACCAACAAUACGGAACCACAAAUGUGUUCAAUAGAAAACUUUUACAAUGAAAAGAAAAAAAAAAAAAAUGACAAUUUCCUAUGCAGAUUGUAUUAUAGGUAUUGUUAUUAUCACGGCGAGCAUACGGCCGUCUGUAACUAUUGCAGUAACAAUGAUAAUAUUUAUAGACGUCGCAUAAUGCCAGAAGAAGAAUACUCCACAUAGUAUUAUUGUUAUGUAUAACUAAUAAUUAUUAUUAUACAACCUGUAUGAAUUAUAAAAACAAAAUAUAACCUUCAAACGAUUCUUUCUACUGUUAAAGUGCAUACAUACUAAAAUAAUAUUCUUCAAUUCUUGAUGUUGCAAAAACGUGUGUGUAGGUUUACCUGUUUAUGCGGCGUACAUGACCACUUUUUUUUUUUUUAUAAUGUAAGUAAUAACCUACCUACCUAUAUAAUGUCUAUAUACAUAUUAUAAUGAGCGAAUGUAAGUUCCUUGUUCCUACAUCACCAAAACAAGUUAGGUUAGAUUAUAUAUUAAACGGAUACUUGUAAAUACACGUUUAACCAAAGUAUUAAAAAAAAAAAAAAUGCAUUAUGGAACAAAAGUUUAAGGUAAAUUACCCAAUGUGCAUGCAGUAUUUUGUAAACAGAUAUAAUUAUUAUCAAACCAAAAACAAGUUUUCUGUAUCAGUUUUAUCAGUAAUGGAAAUUCUCAAAUGUUUGUGUAACACAAACAGAUUUGCAUCGAUCCAAUUUUGAAGUGAACCGCUACUUUUCAUAAGUAAUCGUUUAAUUAACGGCUCAUAUUUAGUUGUAUGAGUUAUCUCUUCUUUCACCAAAAAAUAAACAGAUCGAAAAAGAUGUGAUAAAUUUGUUCUAUUAAUUUUACAUUCUUCAAAACUUUGACUUACAAUUUGAUUAUAAACAGGGUUUUUUAAAGCUACCAAAGCAAGUUUUUCUAAUUCUGCACUACGGAUAUGUGAUACAGAAUAUGUGUGUUUAUUUAAUUUACCAUCUUUUCCUAGUGCUUUUUUAUAGUUUAUGAAUGGUGUAUUAACACAAAUUCCGCCUGAUACAUAUUUUUCACAUAACAUACAAAAAGCACCGUUACGUUGUUUAUGAAAAUAAAGCCAAGGAUAAUCUAUUUCCCAUUUAGUAUUAUAGAAUCGUUUUUCUUUACCUUUUAUUGAUGAACUAGCCGAUGUAACGGCUUGAUUUACGUCUGUAGAUUCUAUAGUUUUUGGUUUUUUUAUUCGGUAAAAAGAAAUCUUCUAUUGAUCGUUUUGACAUCUUAAAAUAAAAAAUUAAUAGAUUACGAAAUGACUAAUAUAGAAAGAAAUAUAGCAUAGGUAGCUAGUAUUCAAUAAUUUUUUUACUUAAGCUAUGUUGUUAAUAAUAGUGCACUCGUGAUUUUUCAGCUGCACAGCGUUGACUAAUCGAUAGUGAACAACUGUCUAGAAUGUAGAUAAAUAAUCAAAGAGAAUAAUAAAUAAUAAUAGACGUAGACGGUCACCUAAUAAUCAUUAUCAAUAUAUGGUAUUUCCAAUCAUAUCAUAUGAUGAUAUACUUGACCGUCCAUGUAAACGUUUAUUAAACCGGUCAAAUUGUUUUAUGAUUAAAUAUUUCAAUCGAUAAAAUUUUAUUUAAAACCACAUUUAACAGGGGGGGGGGGCAACAUUUUUAGUAUACCUGGAUUCAACACAAAUUGUGUUCAAAAAUUGAAAUUAGAAUAUGUCAGCUUUAUCGGUAUUAUAUCAGCUAUAGUCAGAAUAAACCAUCAAGUAUAGCGGUUGAAACGAGCGCGAUUAUAAUAUUACUACACCUUAUCCAUACUAUUCUAUUAAUAUAUUAUUAUUAUUAUUAUUGUUAUACUAUUAUUGAAUUACUUUUUGGUUUUCAUCGGGAAUGCACACUCAGCAAACUUCAAAACAAAUACAAUUGUAAAUUUAACCUACAUUUUUUACGGAGUAGGAGCUAACACAUCUCAUUUUUGUAUUCGUGUAGGAACUAAUAUAUGUAUUUGUUUUAUCUGAUAGGUCUCGUGUACGUACUUACCUGUUUAUCCCCAUUAUAAUAAUCGUGUAGGUUUAUUUUUAUCCGUUCUUUGAUAAUCGUUGGUUCGUAAAAACACGUACACCUACCUAUCGGCAAUUAUUAAACUUCUACGACUGCUCAUUCGGAAAAUGAAAAGCGCACAUUUUAAUCGCCACCACCUGUAGUUUAGGAAACGAUUUAUUUAUCGAAAUUCCAAAAACAUUUGAAACAAAAUAUUCGCUAAGUAUUUGGUCCGCAGAAAAAAUUAGUGUGUAAUAAUAAUAUAUUAUUUAGCAGGGCAAUUAUAAUUUAAACGUUUUCUAGUAACAAAUAGUUUUCGGAUCCUAAGAAUUAUUUUUUUUUUUUUUAUUGAUUGUAAUAUUUGUUUUAUUCGUACAGUCGUAACGAUAAUUAUCAUUCGAAUCUGGAGGGGGAGGGGGUAACGAAAUUCAGCAUUUAAAAACCUAAUAAUAUUUUAUACGAGUUAAUAAUCUCCUAUUCGAUAUUUGUCCGUAAUAAAUAAAUGUUUUUUUUUUCAUGUGUGCUCAAUUGUAUUACAUCAUUUUCAAUAAUUAAAUUAAUUAUUUAAAAAAAAAAAAAAAAUAUUCUCAAAUAAAAGUACGUUAAAUCAUGUACACAUGUGCUUAUCGAAAAACCGAAUACAUUAACAUGUUCGACGCGUACGAAUUCUGGAUAGUACAAUAAUAUUGUGCAUUUUAUAAAAUCCUAUAAUUUAGUGACAAUUAACAUGGAAAUAAAUUGUACUAUUUAAUAACAAAUAAUGUUAUUGUAAUAAUUAAAAACUAAAAGUACAGUUGAUAUUAUAUUUUAUAGGUAUACCGCAUCAUAGGCAAUGGAAAAGUGGAUCUGGUCGAUCUGGAGGAAACGAGCAAAACACAAUUGGUUGAAAAAAAUCAAACGAAAAUAUGUUAAAAGACAAGCAGGUAAAAAACGGAUUGAAUUAGGCACAUAUUGAAAAUAAAAAUGAAACUAAUGGGACGUGCGCUUCUUUAGACAUGAUACUUUCACAAGGAACGUCUUCGAGAGGAAGGUCUUGGGAAAAAGAACUCGAGCCCGCCCGAAAACUUCAUACUUCAAAAAUCUGAAGCAGCUCGUGGAUGUCAAAUCAUAUUCAUGUGCUGAGGAAUGAGGAACGUGGCAAACGAUAGCAAGAUAGAACAUAGACGUGCGCACGGGGUGUGCAAGGUGUGCAGCUGCACGCCCAAAAAAAAAUUCCGGCUAUUUAAAAUUUUUGUUUUCGUUGUAAAUUAAAAUAUUAUUGCAUGUAAAAUAUACAAAAUAAUAUAUAUUUCUUAUAUUUUAAACCGAUAAAUAAUAACUUUUCAUUUAUUAUUAUCGGUCCAUAGACAUAACAUAAUAAUUUAGGUGACCGUCGUCACCAUCAUAAUACAUUUUUUCUCCAUAUUAAACUCCUCUCUGGCUCAGUUGACUUUCCUUCCCUCCUUACACUUGUUUACUUUAAGGUACUAACUCGAAUCACCCGGAAAUUAUAUUCAUUUUGUUACUCCGUAUUGCCCAACCAAUUAUUUGAAAAAUGAGCCUCCCACCAUGAUGAUGCGAAUAGUCAAUGAUGAUCCGUCAUUCCUUUUCUCGGUUAAUUUGUUAUUUCUGUCUUCAAAAUUUGUGUAUGUGCAUUGUCAUUAUAUUUCGGGUUUGCCCGAUGUAUUCAGUAAACCAAUAGACAAACUUUAUUUAUUAAUAUUCAGCAUAUUUUUUUUUUUAAAGUGGCGAUUUUAGGCCCUUGCUUGCAGUAAGAUCUGCUAUCAAUUUGGUAACCCUGCUCGUUAGCCGUAAUCAAUAUUGUUAUUAUCAACUUAUUUACUACCUAGAUUUUUUUAUCUUUAUUUUAGAAAAUAUUACAAUCUAUACAAGUGUACAAUAAGUAAUAAUUAUGGUAGAAAUGAGAAAAAACUUAGAAUGAAUAAUGACAUGGUAGGAAAUCUCACAUUAAAGACACCUAGUGGCUCUACAUUUACAUUCACCGAUUAAUUUAUACAAUUUUCAAGUCACUGUUUUUCAAGUUCCGCUUGAGUCGUCUGGUUGGGUUUCCGGGUAGUGCUGGUAUGGCUAGGUCCCUGAUGAACUAGUUGGGGUUGGAUUGUAGUUUUGCGUGGAAGCGUUUGUAAUACAGGGUAGCAGUUUCGUUGAAAGGGCAGAUUUUUAGGUCAGAGAUUAUUGCAUGGUUGGAGAUAUACCGGGGUGCUCCAGUAAUAAUACGACAACAGAUAUUCUGGAAGGCUUGGAUAGUUCUCUUAUUUUAUAUUUAAGCAGAACUCCAUAUUACUAUUCCGUACACCCAGAGUGGAUGCAGACGAGUUUUAUGAAGCACGAGUUUAAAAGGUAAUGAUAGAUUUGAGUCGAAAAGGGGCCUUAGCAGAUGAAGUCUUGAGUUAAGCAAUUUACGUUUGUCCUUGAGAUGAGAAGACCAUGUUAGACGUCUGUCGAAUAUCAAGCCAAGAUAUUGUGUACUAUUCGCUUAUAGGACGUUAUAAUUUAA